CCAGCCACAGUUUACCUACCCUGUUGAAUAUGAUAUGCCUGAACAGGCCAUGAUCCUGCUGAUGCCAUUAUUGGGACAACUAGCCGGAUAUAUCAUUGCUCUUUGUCUGCGACGGAAAGUCGAGAGUACUCUUUUCCUGGUGAACGGGAUAAUUGUUCUCAUGGCCGCCGCUUUCACCUUUGCUGUUGUGAUCCCCAUGGGCAACAUAGCCAUAUCUUAUUGGGUGACCACUUGUUUUACUGUCCUUGGUGUGGCUCAUGGACUUGUCUACCUGACGGCAAAUGAAGUCAUACCCUGAUGUAUUUGCGAAGCAGAACACUCGGAUUGUAUGCAGUAUGGUGAUGUGUAUUACAGAUCUCUCCACUUUGACAGAGUCACUUUACUCAGAUUUGUUCGAGAAGAGUAGUGUCGCCAGGUUUGUCCAUGCUGGAAUCUUGAUACUGUCCGCCGGUGUCUGCGCGUUCGUAUUACGGACAGGCGUCAUUCCACGUAAUACCAAACCCUACACGGAGGAGGAUGAAACUGUACCUACAGAAGACGGUCAAGAGUUGGAAAAUACAGAAAACGCUGUAGAGGCGCCAAAGUGCGACAAUAGUGUGUAGUUCUGUGGGUUUAUACUAGUAAUAAAUGACAUUGCGUCAACUUGACUUUUAAAUUUUUGUCUUGGUGAAGUCAUCAAGAGACAAUAUUCCGCGUUUUAUUUAAAUUCGAAAGUACAAAGUUAUUUUCGUGGAUUAUAUUGUAAAUGUACUAACUUUGGCGAACUUUCUCAUAUUACCAAAUUUUAACAGAUUGGCCUGGCGCAAUGAAGAAUUCGUGCACUUAUAAAUGUUCAACAGAAAUGGUAUAUAGACAGUGUAAUGAACACAAUCAUGAUUUAGCGUAAUGCUGCAGCGAAAAAAAAAACCCCGCUAAAAUAAGAUUAUCGUUAAAAUAUCAUUACAGCUAAUGACAUGAUUCUCUUAAUAAUAACUAUUUGCAACUGUAAUUAUGACAACUGGAAUGGUGACAAUUUGGAUACCACACGCAGUGGAUGAAUCGUGAUUGCUUUGGUCACUUCUCUGAUAUUUAAUACCUGUCAAUGUUCGCCUAGGCCUAAGUAGUCACAUGCAGUAUUUUGAUGAUGCUUUUGGAUGUUUUUUCCUUGAAGUAUUAUGUGCCUUUUUCUUCUCUGUCUACUUACAUGACAUAUAUGUGCGUUGAUUUCACAGAAACUUUACAAUUAUAUAUAAAGGUAACUUAUGUAUAUAAACUGUAUUUAAUUCCCGUGUCAUGUUUUGUUUGACAAUGUUUAAAUGUUUUAUCUUUAAUUUUUUAAGUCAACCUUAUUAAAAUGUAAAAUGUGAUUGCUAGUCUAAUAUGUACCUACAUUGUAUGUUAUUUUUAUCAGUGUACAGUCUGCGUUACUGUUUUAUUACCGGCUGAAUUGGUUAUUAAAAACAAAUCUUGGCGUACAUAUAAACCUUUGAUAAGUAACGAUUGCAAAAGAGUUAUCUCUCCAUUAAUAUAGUGGUAAAGACUUUCUAAAUUGAUAAAUAACGAUAAGAGUUAUCCCCCCAAUAAUAUUUGUGGUAAAGACUUUCUAACUUCAUAAAUAACGAUAAGAGUUAUCUCUCCAAUAAUAUUUGUGGUAAAGACUUUCUAACUUGAUAAAUAACGAUAAGAGUUAUCUCCCCAAUAAUAUUUGUGGUAAAGACUUUCUAACUUGAUAAAUAACGAUAAGAGUUA